rnacentral:rRNA from 1 species
AUUGAACGCUGGCGGCAGGCCUAACACAUGCAAGUCGAGCGGAUGAAGGGAGCUUGCUCCUGGAUUCAGCGGCGGACGGGUGAGUAUGCCUAGGAAUCUGCCUUGUAGUUGGGGAUAACGUCCGGAAACGGGCGCUUAUACCGCAUACGUCCUUAGGGAGAAAGUGGGGGAUCUUCGGACCUCACGCUUUCCGAUGAGCCUAGGUCGGAUUAGCUAGUUGGUGGGGUAAAGGCCUACCAAGGCGACGAUCCGUAACUGGUCUGAGAGGAUGAUCAGUCACACUGGAACUGAGACACGGUCCAGACUCCUACGGGAGGCAGCAGUGGGGAAUAUUGGACAAUGGGCGAAAGCCUGAUCCAGCCAUGCCGCGUGUGUGAAGAAGGUCUUCGGAUUGUAAAGCACUUUAAGUUGGGAGGAAGGGCAGUAAGUUAAUACCUUGCUGUUUUGACGUUACCAACAGAAUAAGCACCGGCUAACUUCGUG